UCACACCAUGGGAGUGGGUUGUACCAGAAGUAGAUAGCUUAACCUUCGGGGGGGCGUUUACCACGGUAUGAUUCAUGACUGGGGUGAAGUCGUAACAAGGUAACCGUAGGGGAACCUGCGGUUGGAUCACCUCCUUACC
rnacentral:rRNA from 1 species